AGAUGGGAGUUGUUUCUUGAACUGCCGUCCAGCUGCCUCCCCCGGGUCAUGAGAAAGAAGCCAAGGGCAGGCUCGGGGCGCAGGAAGUGGAGCUGGCCAGCUGGGAGGCAGUGACAGGCGUGGGUACCAGGGCCUCCUGGAUGGGCUGGUGACAUCACAACCCCAGGAAGCAGCUGCCCGAGAGGCCCCUGCUGUCCCUCAGCCCUCCUCUGGGAAAACCAGCCACCAGCUGUUGUAGUCCUCUUCUCACUCUCUUGCUGUUCUGGAUUGUCCCCUCCUGAACCAUCAUCUUCAACGCAGCAGACACUUCCUCUUGUUGAUGACCUACUGUGUGCCAGAACCGCAUCUUGGAACCCUUCACGGAACAGCUGGCUGGGCCUGGAUGCAUGGAAGUGGAUUAGCACGCUCUCCGGCACCCCAUAGAUGUUAGCGAUUACUGUGACUGCCCCUGUUCUACAUGGAAGGAAACUGAGGCUCAGAAGAGCAGAGUCCAUUAGUGAAGACCAUAGAACAGCUGGAAGAAUUUUUGAAAUGGCUUUUGCGAGAAAGUUCAAACCCUGGAAUGACUAAGUCUCUGGAAGAAUUUGGACUUUGUAAGGGGAAUUUGUUUGUAUUUGGUAUGAAUCACCCAGUCACUGAUUUCUGCAGCUAGAAGAUCUUUUGGAAAGCUUUUAGGUCAACCCCCUCAUUGUACACAUGGGGAAACUGAGGCUGGGGGAGGGAAAGGGGUUCAGCUAAGGCCACACGCAGUGUCAGAGGAAGUGAUGAGACCAGAACACAGGUCUGACUCCUGGAGCCAGCUUCAGCUUUGCAAGAAGCUCUCGAACACCAGUCUAUACUUAAGUAGGCGCAUCUUCAACAUCAGUAAAGAACAGAAAGAUAAAGAAGGUUCUGAGGAGGCAGAAUUCACCCAGUAGAGGGAUAGAAGGAUGGGGAAAGGAAUGUAUAGAGGUAUCUUGCGAGCAUUACUGCAUCUAACCCUUCCCAGAUCCUGUGAGAACAAUCGUUCUCAACCUGGGAAAAUUACUUAACCUCUCUGUGCCUCUGUUCCCUCAUCUAUGAAAUAGAGAUAACAGUACUUC
ensembl:lncRNA